GCCGAAGUGGCGGAACUGGCAGACGCGCUGCGUUCAGGGCGCAGUGAUCGCAAAGGUCGUGUGGGUUCAAAUCCCACCUUCGGCACCA
rnacentral:tRNA from 1 species